rnacentral:rRNA from 1 species
AUGGACGUCUCGAGCAGCAGGCCAUACACAUGCAAGUCGAACGGUAACAGGAAGCAGCUUGCUGCUUCGCUGACGAGUGGCGGACGGGUGAGUAAUGUCUGGGAAACUGCCUGAUGGAGGGGGAUAACUACUGGAAACGUGGCUAAUACCGCAUAACGUCGCAGAACAAAGAGGGGGACUUCGGGCCUCUGCCAUCAGAUGUGCCCAGAUGGGAUUAGCUGUUUGGUGAGGUAACGGCUCACCAAGGCGACGAUCCCUAGCUGGUCUGAGAGGAUGACCAGCCACACUGGAACUGAGACACGGUCCAGACUCCUACGGGAGGCAGCAGUGGGGAAUAUUGCACAAUGGGGCAGCNGAUGCGCAUGCGCGUGUAGAGAGGCUCGGUGUAGUCUUAGCGGAGAGGUUGUGUAUACGAGCAUGAGUACGCGAGAGCACGCUACUCGUGCAGCGCGCGUAUACGAGGGUCAGGUUAUCGAAUACUGGCUUAAGCCAGCAGGCGUUGUCAGUCGAUUUAAUCCCGGCUAACUGGACGCAUCGAACGCAGCUGAUCGUAGGGGUAAAUCAGUUACGUAAUCUAAACGAGAUCGUGCAGGCGCCUGACAAAACCAGUCAACUGACAAGAUAGUUUAAAAAAAANG